CGUGGGCCUCUGCGAGAUGGUAUUUAAGUAUGUCGCUACAGGCCUUCGGUCUCAUUUUUCCGCGGCGUUCGGGUUCGGGCGCACUUUGAACGCUGAAGAAUGGAGAGGAGCCGACUUGUUAGGAUGUGGUUCAGCUCAAAAGACCUUACAGGUUGGAGGAUGGGACAAGACCUGUCGUGCAAACUAGGUAUCACGGUAAUGCUGCAGCAUCUCAUCACUAGGCCUGAGGAAUCCAACUGCCUCCCAGGGUGAAUACAGGUAAUGAAUUGUUCAGAUGGGGGAUUGGAGUGUUGUCUGGUUUUGCCUACAACCAGGAGAGCAAAUGGCCAGUGGAGCAGCAUUGCCUUUUUGCUCCUUCCAGCUUGUUCUCUUGUAAUGACUUUGCUGUGGAGGGAGAGAGCAGCCUAACAGUACAGUUCUUGUGAGGGUGUGCUCUCCCUCACCCAUAUGUCAACUGUCAGAUGAUUUGAAUAGAUAUGCUGAUCCUCUGUGAGGUGCGACAAUUAAUAGCAUGUUAGAGUUCUGAUGGCAGUUUCUGUUAAUGAAGAAACUUUACUCCGUUUUAUAUUUUCAGAUAACCAUUUGUUCCGCUUUUGCAGG